AGGCUCUAUUUCCUGGGAGGUGGGCCUAGCCUACCCCACUUCCCCUCAGCAGAGCCUAGAGUAAAGGGGCCAGGCCUCCUCCCUAUGGGAAAGAGAGGGGUCUGAAGAAGGGGCCUCACUCAGCAGACCGGCCUGGCUUCACAGUU
rnacentral:snoRNA from 1 species